rnacentral:rRNA from 1 species
AUUGAACGCUGGCGGCAUGCCUUACACAUGCAAGUCGAACGGCAACACGGGGGCAACCCUGGUGGCGAGUGGCGAACGGGUGAGUAAUGCAUCGGAACGUGCCCAGUAGUGGGGAUAACCCGGCGAAAGCCGGGCUAAUACCGCAUACGACCUACGGGUGAAAGCGGGGGACCGUAAGGCCUCGCGCUAUUGGAGCGGCCGAUGUCUGAUUAGCUAGUUGGCGGGGUAAAAGCCCACCAAGGCGACGAUCAGUAGCUGGUCUGAGAGGACGACCAGCCACACUGGGACUGAGACACGGCCCAGACUCCUACGGGAGGCAGCAGUGGGGAAUUUUGGACAAUGGGCGCAAGCCUGAUCCAGCCAUGCCGCGUGCGGGAAGAAGGCCUUCGGGUUGUAAACCGCUUUUGGCAGGAACGAAACGGCGCAAGCCAAUACCUUGCGCUAAUGACGGUACCUGCAGAAUAAGCACCGGCUAACUACGUGCCAGCCGCCGCAGUAAUAC